rnacentral:misc_RNA from 1 species
GGCCAGAUCUGAGCCUGGGAGCUCUCUGGCC